rnacentral:rRNA from 1 species
CACGUAGGGGGCAAGCGUUGUCCGGAUUUAUUGGGCGUAAAGAGCUCGUAGGCGGCUCAGUAAGUCAGGUGUGAAACCUCCAGGCUCAACCUGGAGACGCCACCUGAUACUGCUGUGGCUAGAGUCCGGUAGGGGAGCGUGGAAUUCCUGGUGUAGCGGUGAAAUGCGCAGAUAUCAGGAGGAACACCAAUGGCGAAGGCAGCGCUCUGGGACGUGACUGACGCUGAGACGCGAAAGCGUGGGGAGCAAACAGG